rnacentral:rRNA from 1 species
UCUGUAGCAAGGUUAACCGUAUAGGGGAGCCGGAGGGAAACCGAGUCUUAACCGGGCGUUAAGUUGCAGGGUAUAGACCCGAAACCCGGUGAUCUAGCCAUGGGCAGGUUGAAGGUUGGGUAACACUAACUGGAGGACCGAACCGACUAAUGUUGAAAAAUUAGCGGAUGACCUGUGGCUGGGGGUGAAAGGCCAAUCAAACCGGGAGAUAGCUGGUUCUCCCCGAAAGCUAUUUAGGUAGCGCCUCGUGAAUUCAUCUCCGGGGGUAGAGCACUGUUUCGGCUAGGGGGCCAUCCCGGCUUACCAACCCGAUGCAAACUGCGAAUACCGGAGAAUGUUAUCACGGGAGACACACGGCGGGUGCUAACGUCCGUCGUGAAGAGGGAAACAACCCAGACCGCCAGCUAAGGUCCCAAAGUCAUGGUUAAGUGGGAAACGAUGUGGGAAGGCCCAGACAGCCAGGAUGUUGGCUUAGAAGCAGCCAUCAUUUAAAGAAAGCGUAAUAGCUCACUGGUCGAGUCGGCCUGCGCGGAAGAUGUAACGGGGCUAAACCAUGCACCGAAGCUGCGGCAGCGACGCUGAUGCGUUGUUGGGUAGGGGAGCGUUCUGUAAGCCUGCGAAGGUGGCCUGUGAGGGUUGCUGGAGGUAUCAGAAGUGCGAAUGCUGACAUAAGUAACGAUAAAGCGGGUGAAAAGCCCGCUCGCCGGAAGACCAAGGGUUCCUGUCCAACGUUAAUCGGGGCAGGGUGAGUCGACCCCUAAGGCGAGGCCGAAAGGCGUAGUCGAUGGGAAACGGGUUAAUAUUCCCGUACUUGGUGUUACUGCGAAGGGGGGACGGAGAAGGCUAUGUUGGCCGGGCGACGGUU